UGGGGAAUUUUGGACAAUGGGGGAAACCCCGAUCCAGCCAUCCCGCGUGUGCGAUGAAGGCCUUCGGGUUGUAAAGCACUUUUGGCAGGAAAGAAACGUCAUGGGUUAAUACCCCGUGAAACUGACGGUACCUGCAGAAUAAGCACCGGCUAACUACGUGCCAGCAGCCGCGGUAAUACGUAGGGUGCAAGCGUUAAUCGGAAUUACUGGGCGUAAAGCGUGCGCAGGCGGUUCGGAAAGAAAGAUGUGAAAUCCCAGAGCUCAUCUUUGGAACCGCAUUUUUAGCUACCGGGCUAGGGUGUGUCAGAGGGAGGUGGGAUUCCGCGUGUAGCCGUAAGAUGCGUAGAUAUGCAGAGGAACACCGAUGGCGAAGGCAGCCUCCUGGGAUAACACUUGCGCUCAUGCAAGAACGCGUGGGGAGCAAACAGG
rnacentral:rRNA from 1 species